rnacentral:rRNA from 1 species
AGUGAACGCUGGCGGUAGGCCUAACACAUGCAAGUCGAACGGCAGCACAGUAAGAGCUUGCUCUUACGGGUGGCGAGUGGCGGACGGGUGAGGAAUACAUCGGAAUCUACUUUUUCGUGGGGGAUAACGUAGGGAAACUUACGCUAAUACCGCAUACGACCUACGGGUGAAAGCAGGGGAUCUUCGGACCUUGCGCGAUUGAAUGAGCCGAUGUCGGAUUAGCUAGUUGGCGGGGUAAAGGCCCACCAAGGCGACGAUCCGUAGCUGGUAUGAGAGGAUGAUCAGCCACACUGGAACUGAGACACGGUCCAGACUCCUACGGGAGGCAGCAGUGGGGAAUAUUGGACAAUGGGCGCAAGCCUGAUCCAGCCAUACCGCGUGGGUGAAGAAGGCCUUCGGGUUGUAAAGCCCUUUUGUUGGGAAAGAAAAGCAGCAGGUUAAUACCCCGCUAUUCUGACGGUACCCAAAGAAUAAGCACCGGCUAACUUCGUG